AUGGGUGCAUACAAAUACAUCCAGGAGCUAUGAAGAAGCAGCCCGACGUGAUGUGCUUUCUUCUGAGUGUCCUCUGCUGACAACACCACCAGCACUCUGCGCUGCACAGGGCUCCCUGACCCACCCGGCCUGAUAAAGCGCAAAGUCUGGGAUACAAGGCUAAGCAAGGUUAUGUCAUUUACAGGAUUUAUAUCCACCACGGUGGUUGCCAGCGCCGGGUUCCUAGGGAUGCAACUUACAGCAAGCCUGUCAACCAUGGUGUUAACCAGCUGACAUUUGCCCAAAGCCUUUAGCCUGUUGCUGAGGAGAGAGCUGGGCGCCAUUGAAGGGCUUUGAGAGUCCCGAAUCUCUACUGGGUUGGUGAAGAUUCCACAUAUAAAUAUUUCGAGGUUAUCCUCAUUGAUCAGUUCCAUAAAGCUAUCAGAAGAAAUCCUGACACCCACUGGAUCACCAAACCAGUCUACAAGCACAGAGAAAUACAUGGGUUGACAUCUGCUGGCUGAAAGAGCCUGGCCUCAGAAAGGGCUACAAGUUCCACUACACAGUUGGUUCUCGCCGUGCAGCCCAGAGAAGGCUCAAUACUCUCCAGCUCCACCGUUACCACUAA
rnacentral:lncRNA from 1 species